CCCAUCACAAAAGAAAAUCAGACUUCUGGUCAAGAUGGAGGCAUAAGUAAACAUGCUUUGCCUCCAUGCACAACUAAAGCAAAAAUUAUGACUAGACUACAAACAAAUAUCACCCAGAUUCAUCAAAAAAUCAAGCUGUAUGGAAGUCUGACAACCAAGGAUUUAAAGAAGCUAC